rnacentral:rRNA from 1 species
GACGAACGCUGGCGGCGUGCUUAACACAUGCAAGUCGAACGAUGACGACCGAGCUUGCUCGGUCUGAUUAGUGGCGAACGGGUGAGUAACACGUGAGCAACCUGCCCUUCACUCUGGGAUAACCUCGGGAAAUCGGGGCUAAUACCGGAUAUGAGCUCCUGUCGCAUGGCGGGUGUUGGAAAGUUUUUCGGUGAAGGAUGGGCUCGCGGCCUAUCAGUUUGUUGGUGAGAUAGUGGCUCACCAAGGCGAUGACGGGUAGCCGGCCUGAGAGGGCGACCGGCCACACUGGGACUGAGACACGGCCCAGACUCCUACGGGAGGCAGCAGUGGGGAAUAUUGCACAAUGGGCGAAAGCCUGAUGCAGCGACGCCGCGUGAGGGAUGACGGCCUUCGGGUUGUAAACCUCUUUCAGCAGGGAAGAAGCGAAAGUGACGGUACCUGCAGAAGAAGCGCCGGCUAACUACGUG